rnacentral:rRNA from 1 species
GUGGGUAACCUGCCUCAUACAGGGGGAUAACAGUUAGAAAUGACUGCUAAUACCGCAUAAGCGCACAGUGCUGCAUGGCACAGUGUGAAAAACUCCGGUGGUAUGAGAUGGACCCGCGUCUGAUUAGCUAGUUGGUGGGGUAACGGCCUACCAAGGCGACGAUCCCUAGCUGGUCUGAGAGGAUGACCAGCCACACUGGAACUGAGACACGGUCCAGACUCCUACGGGAGGCAGCAUG